GUUGACCUCGGAUCAGGUAGGAAUACCCGCUGAACUUAAGCAUAUCAAUAAGCGGAGGAAAAGAAACCAACAGGGAUUGCCCCAGUAACGGCGAGUGAAGCGGCAACAGCUCAAAUUUGAAAUCUGGCCCCUCGGGCCCGAGUUGUAAUUUGUAGAGGAUGCUUUUGGCAAGGUGCCGCCCGAGUUCCCUGGAACGGGACGCCGCAGAGGGUGAGAGCCCCGUCUGGCUGGCCACCGAGCCUCUGUAAAGCUCCUUCGACGAGUCGAGUAGUUUGGGAAUGCUGCUCAAAAUGGGAGGUAUAUGUCUUCUAAAGCUAAAUAUUGGCCAGAGACCGAUAGCGCACAAGUAGAGUGAUCGAAAGAUGAAAAGCACUUUGAAAAGAGGGUUAAACAGUACGUGAAAUUGUUGAAAGGGAAGCGCUCAUGACCAGACUUGGGCUUGGCGAAUCAUCCGGCGUUCUCGCCGGUGCACUUCGCCUCGCCCAGGCCAGCAUCAGUUCGCGCCGGGGGACAAAAGCUUCGGGAAUGUGGCUCCUCCGGGAGUGUUAUAGCCCGUUGCAUAAUACCCUGGUGCGGACUGAGGUUCGCGCAUCUGCAAGGAUGCUGGCGUAAUGGUCAUCAGCGACCCGUCUUGAAACACGGACCAAGGAGUCGUCUUCGUAUGCGAGUGUUCGGGUGUCAAACCCCUACGCGUAAUGAAAGUGAACGCAGGUGAGAGCUUCGGCGCAUCAUCGACCGAUCCUGAUGUUCUCGGAUGGAUUUGAGUAAGAGCAUACGGGGCCGGACCCGAAAGAAGGUGAACUAUGCCUGUAUAGGGUGAAGCCAGAGGAAACUCUGGUGGAGGCUCGCAGCGGUUCUGACGUGCAAAUCGAUCGUCAAAUAUGGGCAUGGGGGCGAAAGACUAAUCGAACCUUCUAGUAGCUGGUUUCC
rnacentral:rRNA from 1 species